GGGGGCUUGCAUUGGCCCUGCAGUGAAAACUCCUUCCUCAUCCUGGGGAGGAAGGAAGAAGGCUUCCAGCCAGCCAGGGGCCCCCUGAGGCCUGGGGCAGAGGAGAGAAAGACAGAAAUAGAAACAGAGCAGGAGGGAGGAGGAUGGAUUUGGGCAGACAGGGUGGGAGGCAGCAAGGACAGCAGCUCCGGCCGGAGAAUCACAGGCCAGGAGGUGCCUCACCCUGUGGUCCAGCCACACUCAUUCGUGUCACUCGUGAUGACGCGUAGGCCGUGUGAGGCUCCCACCAGCCAGACACUGCGCUCAGGAACCCUCCCUGAAGAGUGAGCCCAGGCCCUCGUGCAUACUAGGCAACCACUGUGCUACUGUGUGACACAUCCAGCUCCAGAGCUCAGAAGACCAGAGGCUGAUGGAAAUCCUGCCAGUAAAGACCAGGCUGGGAAAUUCCUGUUGGAAAGAAGGACAUCGUUGGCUGUUGGACUCCAGAUGAUGUGUUACAGUUUGACAGAAAGUUUGUUUGUAUUUUGCUCAUGUCCAGAGACUACCCGAGACCGUGAUUAAGAGUGGUGGACUAACUGACCUGGCAGAAGAAACUUCCAGGCAAUCUAAUGUUGAGGUGGUAGUGUGGCUACUAUUGAGGGCUUUAAGUCAGAUUUUUGUUGAGAAUAGAGAGCAAGGAAGCCAGAAGAAUGAUUUAAGAUGUUUUGAGUUUGGCCAGGAAGGAAGCUCUAGUAAAAUUGUGGACUGCAAAGACAGAACAGAGCAGAUCUUGAUUGCUGAAGGUGAGCAGGAAAAUAGAAAAGGUAGCCUGAGGGCAUCACAAGAAGCAGCAGGACUACACCUUGCAGCCUUGUAAUUGCAAAGUGAAAGAUGAUGUUUUGAGAAAAGAGUCCCAGAGCACCAUGUUCCAGAAUGGUGGUGGCCUAAGGAAAUUAUUCCUUGGGAUUUGGUUCUACAGCCAAGAGAGAAGGAAACCUGGCUACUGUGCCAUCUGCUGGCAGACCUUGGCAUUAUUUAUGUGGUGCUGGUUUCAGGUGCAUACAGAAUGCAAGAGCUGUGGCGUCAGGAAGACUUCCACCCAGAUUUCAGAAGAAGGCCUGGGAGGUCAGACAGUGUGCCCUGAGAGGGCAGUGUGUGCAUCUGUGAGUGUGAAGCUGAAGGUGCAGUGGAGAUCCCCAGAGGCUGGGGAAUCCAGGAGCAUGGAUCAGCCAAGGAAAGAUGCAAAGAGGGAGUGAAGCCAGCCAUAGAAAGAAACCAUGAGAGCUACAACCACUAGAAGCCACAGGAGUGGAGCUGCCUGUGCCCUUUGGAGUUCACAUCUUGCCACAGACUUCUGGGAAUACUGGAAGUGGAAAUGUGGGAUAUAAUGUUUUCCCUGCUGAGUUUUUGACUUGCUUUGUUCCCAUUCCUUGCCAUCCCCCUGUUUGAACUUUUGAAUGGCAAUGUCAGUUUUGUGCCACUGAAUGUUGGAAGAGUUUAACUUUCUUGCGGCUAACAAUUUGCCUUAAAUCUCAGAGGAGACUCUGGACUAGGACCUUUUAGCAGUGCUGAAACUGUUAGGACUUUGGUAACUCUUAGAGAUGGCUAAAUCCCUUUUGCAUUAAGGAACGUGCAUGAGUCCAUAGAGGGCCAAGGCAGAAUGUUAUGGCUUGGUGUUUAGCUGUCUGCCCAAAGCCUCGUGCAGUCAUAGGUGGGGCUUUUUUGGGAGUGGCUAGGUCCAGAGUGUGUGAUGCUGGAACUGAUUCACGGGAUAAUGCUAGGACUGAGGGCUCUAGGACUGAAGGUGUGAGUGUUACCCCCCUUAAGCCUGGGUAAGGUAUAAGGGAUAGAAAGAGCUGUGGUCAUGCCUUGUGGUCCUGCUACCUUCUGCCCAUAGAACUGGUAUUUUUCUGCCAUGCCACCCUGCCUUGGAGCCAGAUGAUUAUAGAGUGAAACCUCUACAAACUGUGAGAUAAAUAAAUUUGUGGGUGUUGGGUGUUUUGCCUUAGCAGUGAGAAAAGUAACUAAGACAAUAUGCAUUUGCAGUACAUAAUGAUGACAUGCAUUUAUACACAUAAAUGUCAUCGUGAUGACAUUUUAAUUUUUUUCAUUCCCAUUGCUGCCAUCCCUCCCUGCCUCCUCCAGUUUAUUUAUUUAUUUAGUCUUUUUUGAGACAGUGUUUCAUUAUGCUACUCAGGCUGGGUUUGGACUCAGUUGCCCAGGCUGGUCUUGAACUCACAGCAAUCCUUCUGCCUCAUCCUCCCAAGUGCUGGAAUUACAGGCAUGUGUCACCACUUCCAGCUCCCUCCAACUCUUCAUCCCCUUCCCAUUUAAUUUUUUGAGACAGGGUCUCAUCUGGCCUUGAACUCUCAGUGAUCUUCCUGCCUCAGCUUUCCAAGUGGUGGGACUACAGACACAGGCCACCACACCGGCCUCCUUUCCCAU